AGUGAACGCUGGCGGUAGGCCUAACACAUGCAAGUCGAACGGCAGCACAGGAGAGCUUGCUCUCUAGGUGGCGAGUGGCGGACGGGUGAGGAAUACAUCGGAAUCUGCCCAGUCGUGGGGGAGAACGUAGGGAAACUUACGCUAAUACCGCAUACGACCUUCGGGUGAAAGAGGGGGAUCGCAAGACCUCUCGCGAUUGGAUGAGCCGAUGUCGGAUUAGCUAGUUAGCGGGGUAAUGGCCCACCAAGGCGACGAUCCGUAGCUGGUCUGAGAGGAUGAUCAGCCACACUGGAACUGAGACACGGUCCAGACUCCUACGGGAGGCAGCAGUGGGGAAUAUUGGACAAUGGGCGCAAGCCUGAUCCAGCCAUACCGCGUGGGUGAAGAAGGCCUUCGGGUUGUAAAGCCCUUUUGUUGGGAAAGAAAUCUUUCAGGCUAAUACCCUGGGAGGAUGACGGUACCCAAAGAAUAAGCACCGGCUAACUUCGUG
rnacentral:rRNA from 1 species